rnacentral:rRNA from 1 species
AUACGGAGGAUGCAAGCGUUAUCCGGAUUUAUUGGUUUAAAGGGUGCGCAGGCGGCCAUUUAAGUCAGCGGUUAAAUCGUGGGGCUCAACCCCAUUCUGCCGUUGAUACUGGGUGGCUUGAUUGCGGUCGAGGUUGGCGGAAUUCGUUGUGUAGCGGUGAAAUGCAUAGAUAUGACGAAGAACACCGAUUGCGUAGGCAGCUGACCAGACCGCAAAUGACGCUCAUGCACGAAAGUGCAGGGAUCGAACAGGAUUAGAUACCCUGGUAGUCCGCACAGUAAACGAUGAAUUCUUGUUUUCGGCGAUAUAAUGUCGGAGGCAAAGCGAAAGCGAUAAGUAUUCCACCUGGGGAGUACGCCGGCAACGGUGAAACUCAACGGAAUUGGCGGGG